rnacentral:rRNA from 1 species
GACGAACGCUGGCGGCGUGCUUAACACAUGCAAGUCGAACGGAAAGGCCCUGCUUUUGUGGGGUGCUCGAGUGGCGAACGGGUGAGUAACACGUGAGUAACCUGCCCUUGACUUUGGGAUAACUUCAGGAAACUGGGGCUAAUACCGGAUAGGAGCUCCUGCUGCAUGGUGGGGGUUGGAAAGUUUCGGCGGUUGGGGAUGGACUCGCGGGUUAUCAGCUUGUUGGUGGGGUUGUGGCUUACCAAGGCUUUGACGGGUAGCCGGCCUGGGGGGGGGACCGGCCUCGUUGGGACUGAGAUACGGCCCAGACUCCUACGGGCGGCAGCAGUGGGGAAUAUUGCACAGUGGGCGGAAGCCUGAUGCAGCAACGCCGCGUGCGGGAUGAAGGCCUUCGUGUUGUAAACCUCUUUCGCCUGUGACGAAGCGUGAGUGACGGUAAUGGGUAAAGAAGCACCGGCUAACUACGUG